rnacentral:rRNA from 1 species
UUCCAGACUCCUACGGGAGGCAGCAGUGAGGAAUAUUGGUCAAUGGGCGCGAGCCUGAACCAGCCAAGUAGCGUGAAGGAUGACUGCCCUACGGGUUGUAAACUUCUUUUAUAAAGGAAUAAAGUGAGGCACGUGUGCCUUUUUGUAUGUAUUUUAUGAAUAAGGAUCGGCUAACUCCGUGCCAGCAGCCGCGGUAAUACGGAGGAUCCGAGCGUUAUCCGGAUUUAUUGGGUUUAAAGGGUGCGUAGGCUGUGAGGUAAGUCAGCGGUGAAAUGCCCCCGCUCAACGGGGUGAAGUGCCAUUGAUACUGCCUUGCUGGAAUGCGGAUGCCGUGGGAGGAAUGUGUGGUGUAGCGGUGAAAUGCAUAGAUAUCACACAGAACACCGAUUGCGAAGGCAUCUCACGAAUCCGCGAUUGACGCUGAUGCACGAAAGCGUGGGUAUCAAACAGGAUUAGAUACCCUAGUA